UACGUAGGGGCCAAGCGUUGUCCGGAUUUAUUGGGCGUAAAGAGCUCGUAGGCGGUCUGUUGCGUCCGCUGUGAAAACCCGGGGCUUAACCCCUGGCUUGCAGUGGAUACGGACAGACUAGAGGUAGGUAGGGGAGAAUGGAAUUCCCGGUGUAGCGGUGAAAUGCGCAGAUAUCGGGAGGAACACCGGUGGCGAAGGCGGUUCUCUGGGCCUUACCUGACGCUGAGGAGCGAAAGCGUGGGGAGCGAACAGG
rnacentral:rRNA from 1 species